rnacentral:lncRNA from 1 species
UCCCAUGUAUUACACUCAGCAUGCAAUGUAGAAUACAUUGAUACAUUAGCAGCUACCCAAUCAAAAUGACUAAAUGUUCCAUAAGGAGCUUCAAACACAGAAAUAUUUGGGACUCCUAUAUCACUUAAAUUUUCUACGUCACGUGAGCUUCCAAUAUCAUGUGGGCUUUCAAUAUCAAGUGGGCUUUCUGCAUUAUAUGAUGUACCAGCUUGCUGAGCAUCCUCAUCCACAUCAUCUUUGCUUAGCAC